GGAUGAGUUCGCGUGCCAUUAUGCUAGUUGGUAAGGUAACGGCUUACCAAGGCUAUGACGGCUAGGUGGUCUGAGAGGACGAUCACCCACACUGGGACUGAGACACUGCCCAGACUCCUGCGGGAGGCUGCAGUCGAGAAUCUUCCGCAAUGCGCGAAAGCGUGACGGAGCAAUGCCGCGUGAUCGAAGACGGCCUUCGGGUUGUAAAGAUCUGUCAGGGGGGAAAAACGAUGAUGGUACCCCCAGAGGAAGCCACGGCUAACUACGUGCCAGCAGCCGCGGUAAUACGUAGGUGGCGAGCAUUAUUCG
rnacentral:rRNA from 1 species